rnacentral:misc_RNA from 1 species
GAUGAAGAACGUAGCGAAAUGCGAUAAGUAAUGUGAAUUGCAGAAUUCCGUGAAUCAUCGAAUCUUUGAACGCACAUUGCGCCCCCUGGCAUUCCGGGGGGCAUGCCUGUCCGAGCGUCAUUUCUGCCCUCCAGCCCGGCUGGGUGUUGGGCGCUGUCCCCCCGGGGACACGCCCCAAAGGCAGUGGCGGCGCCGCGUCGGGUCCUCGAGCGUAUGGGGCUUUGUCACCCGCUCGGGACGGACUCGUCGGCGCUGGUCUUCCUCCAGGCGACCCUUCGGGGCUCGUCUUCCUUCGGUUGACCUCGGAUCAGGUAGGGAUACCCGCUGAACUUAAGCAUAUCAAUAAGCGGAGGA